rnacentral:rRNA from 1 species
UAAUACGGGGGGUGCGAGCGUUGUCCGGAAUCACUGGGCGUAAAGGGCGCGUAGGUGGUUUGAUAAGGGUGUGGUGAAAGUCCGGGGCUCAACCCCGGAUCUGCCGUGCCGACUGUCAAACUCGAGGGCUGUAGAGGCAGGUGGAAUUCCCGGUGUAGCGGUGGAAUGCGUAGAGAUCGGGAAGAACAUCAGUGGCGAAGGCGGCCUGCUGGGCUGUUGCUGACGCUGAGGCGCGACAGCGUGGGGAGCAAACAGGAUUAGAUACCCUGGUAGUCCACGCCGUAAACGAUGGGCACUAGGCGUCGGGGGGAGCGACCCUCCCGGUGCCGUCGCUAACGCAGUAAGUGCCCCGCCUGGGGAGUACGGCCGCAAGGCUG